UGGUCCGGUUUAUAAAGCUCAGGUGUCAACGGGUGAGACAGUUGCUGUAAAGGUGCUUGCAAGUGACUCUAAGCAAGGAGAGAAAGAGAUCCAGACGGAGGUUAUGUUGUUGGGAAGGUUGCACCAUAGAAACCUUGUAAAUUUGGUUGGAUAUUGAGCGGAAAAGGGUAAGCAUAUUCUUGUCUAUGUAUAUAUGAGUAAAGGCAGCUUGGCUUCUACAGUGAAAAACAUGAACCUCUGAGCUGGAAUUUGAGGGUUUAUAUAGCUUUAGAUGUGGCAAGGGGCUUGGAAUAUCUUCA